CCCCUACACAUCACUCCCACCCUUCUUCUGGUGCAAGCGCUACUAAAUCUCACCCUAACGUUUCCCCGCUUUAGGAGAGACUUGCAGGACUGUUAGAAGGACCCAGGUGGCCACGACAGCAGCGACAGAGGCGCAGUGACACGUUUACCUGCCGCAGGACACGCCGAGCCCCUUGUCUUGCCCGUGACAAUGUACACCUCGGGAUUUCCUUUCCCCCGCGGGCAUCAAAGGUUACCGCAAGCAUCGCCAGCCUUGAAGAGAUGUUUUAAGAUUCAAAGGUUUACAGGACGUGCCAGUUCAGAAUCCGCGGCAAACUAAAGCACCCACGGACGGCACUUGUGAAGGCAGGCAGCCCGUGUCCGUGCGGGGGGAU